rnacentral:tRNA from 1 species
GCCUCCUUAGCUCAGCUGGUAGAGCAACUGACUUGUAAUCAGUAGGUCGGCGGUUCGAUCCCGUCAGGGGGCU